rnacentral:rRNA from 1 species
UACGGAGGGUUCAAGCGGUAUCCGGAUUCACUGGGUUUAAAGGGUGCGUAGGCGGGCAGAUAAGUCAGUGGUGAAAUCUCCGAGCUUAACUCGGAAACUGCCGUUGAUACUAUUUGUCAUGAAUAAUGUGGAGGUAAGCGGAAUAUGUCAUGUAGCGGUGAAAUGCUUAGAUAUGACAUAGAACACCAAUUGCGAAGGCAGCUUACUACACAGCGAUUGACGCUGAGGCACGAAAGCGUGGGGAUCAAACAGG